rnacentral:lncRNA from 13 species
AGGGAAGGAGAGAGGGAGAGGGAGGGAGUCAAGGGGGAAGAGAGAGAGGGAGAGGGAGGGGGGAGAGAGAGAGAGAGGAGAGAGAGAGAGAGAGAAGAGAGAGAGAGACAUUUCAGCUUUAGCUUAAUUGGCUUAUUUCCUCAAACCGAUUGCUUUGUCGCGUUUCUUUUUGUAUAUUUGGUUGCAAAUUGCGAAGCAAUUAACUGGGAUGGGUGUUGGAGUGUGGGGGAUAGCAUAGGAAAGUAGUGGGAACCUGCAGUCAGUCGCGAUGGCCUUGAGAGAUCAAAAGGUGCUGAAAGCCCCCUUCCCGCAAAACACACCUCUAGUUAUUGGGGCACGAGAGAAAUGUAGAUCCUAAUAAACAUGGCUUGCAGGAGUCGAUGAACAAAGGUACUUAAUGCGGUCCUAAGCCUCCGCUGAUAUUGUUCCGCUAGCAAUAGAUAAAUAUUCAAAAGCGAAGUGUAAGUUGAUCAACAAACGCCCUGAUGGUAUUGGGCUUUUUCCCUUUUCUGUUGUUGUGUAGAGGGUGGAGAAGCGGGGGAGGGUGGAUGGGUGGGGGAAAUCCGACAGCUUAAGGAGGCUUGAAUUGAAUAUGCACCCAGCGGCAGUGGUCUCGUAGGAAAUGGUGUUCUCGUAAGUCAGGCUGCCCCGCUGAAGCAAGAGAGAGCUUUGGUUAGAGCUCAGAGCGUCAGUUCUGCUGCGAGUGCUGCCGGCAGUCUGCCCGGGUUGAGCUGUCCACUCGUCCAGGUGCUGAAGCUGAUGGAACAUUAGGGUUCUCUGGCUGCCAUGGCACUCAAUCAAACCACCUAGAAUGGACUGGCCGAGACCAGACUGGGUACCAAGCAGAGAAGUGCAGAGGAAGGCACUGGGAGAGCACCAGAACUGGAAAUAGAGCGGCCAUUUGGAUUUGGGCAGGAAGCAGCCGAGCACAGCUUUGGAUCCUUCUUUAGGGAAAUCGAGUUAUGGAUUUAUGGUCCCGGUCAAGCUCAGCCCAUCCCCAGCCAGGGGCGGGCUCAGCGAGCAGCAAGAGUUCUGGUGGUGGCGUCGGCGGCAGUAGCAGCGGCAGCGGUAGCAGCGGCAGCGGCAGCCUGGUCCUCUGACUCUCUUCGGUGACGGAUUCCCUAAGCUUAUGUGGCUGAUAAGCUGCUCUCCAGUUAUGCCAUGAUGAUUUCCAUUCCUGAAGGCGGGCUGUAACGAAGAACCAGGAAAACAGGAGCACCACUCCUACCCUCAUACUGCAGUGGUUGAGGAUCCUUAUUUCUAUGCAAUUUAAAAAACUGGAAAUACACUAAAUGUGCCAGUAUCAUUAAAAGUAAAACUACCAUGAAAUAGCACAAAUAUUCCGCACAUGGAAUGUUAAAAACUAAAACAAUAAAAAAAAUCUGCUUUUAAUAGGACUACA